UAAAGUUGUUGCAGUUAAAAAGCUCGUAGUUGAACCUUGGGCUUGGUUAGCCGGUCCACCUUUUUGGUGUGUACUGGACCUAACCGAGCCUUUCCUUCUGGCUAACCUUCUUCCUUUUUGGGAGUUGGCGAACCAGGACUUUUACUUUGAAAAAAUUAGAGUGUUCAAAGCAGGCCUUUGCUCGAAUAUAUUAGCAUGGAAUAAUAGAAUAGGACGUUAUGGUUCUAUUUUGUUGGUUUCUAGGACCAUCGUAAUGAUUAAUAGGAACGGUCGGGGGCAUCAGUAUUCAGUUGUCAGAGGUGAAAUUCUUGGAUUUACUGAAGACUAACUACUGCGAAAGCAUUUGCCAAGGACGUUUUCAUUAAUCAAGAACGAAAGUUAGGGGAUCGAAGAUGAUCAGAUACCGUCGUAGUCUUAACCAUAAACUAUGCCGACUAGGGAUCGGGUGGUGUUCUUUUUUUGACGCACUCGGCACCUUACGAGAAAUCAAAGUCUUUGGGUUCUGGGGGGAGUAUGGUCGCAAGGCUGAAACUUAAAGGAAUUGACGGAAGGGCACCACCAGGAGUGGAGCCUGCGGCUUAAUUUGACUCAACACGGGGAAACUCACCAGGUCCAGACACAAUAAGGAUUGACAGAUUGAGAGCUCUUUCUUGAUUUUGUGGGUGGUGGUGCAUGGCCGUUCUUAGUUGGUGGAGUGAUUUGUCUGCUUAAUUGCGAUAACGAACGAGACCUUAACCUACUAAAUAGUGCUGCUAGCUUUUGCUGGUAUAGUCACUUCUUAGAGGGACUAUCGAUUUCAAGUCGAUGGAAGUUUGAGGCAAUAACAGGUCUGUGAUGCCCUUAGACGUUCUGGGCCGCACGCGCGCUACACUGACGGAGCCAGCGAGUUUAUACCUUGGCCGAGAGGUCUGGGAAAUCUUGUGAAACUCCGUCGUGCUGGGGAUAGAGCAUUGUAAUUAUUGCUCUUCAACGAGGAAUUCCUAGUAAGCGCAAGUCAUCAGCUUGCGUUGAUUACGUCCCUGCCCUUUGUACACACCGCCCGUCGCUACUACCGAUUGAAUGGCUUAGUGAGGCCUCCGGAUUGGUUUAAAGAAGGGGGCAACUCCAUCUUGGAACUGAAAAGCUGGUCAAACUUGGUC
rnacentral:rRNA from 1 species